CAAAAUAAAAGAACAUCUUGAGGUUUGUAUACUGUUGUCAUUAAAAGAUAAGUGUAAUUUUAAUAAAAUCAAGCUCUUAGCCUCCCGUUAUAUAAAAUUAUUGAAAAGUGAUAUCAAUGCCUAUGGGUUAUAAAACUAUACAUACAAAUCAAAUAUCAAAAAUCUAAACAUUUUUUUUAUCAGGGAUUCAAGAAUAUAAAUUAUGAAAACAUCCACCAUCUAAACUUAGAUCCCAUAGCCAAAGCAAGUCAGGCCUUAAAUGGCUGUCAUGUGACAUAUCCAUCUCAGACUACUAACAGGGACCUCUGUCAGUUUCAAGUUUCUGUAAAGUAAAAGCACAAAAAUACCGAACUCAGAGAAAAAUUCCAAACGAAAAGUCUCUUAUCAAAUGGCAAAAUCAAAAGAUCAAACACAUAAAACAAAUGGAUAACAAGUGUUAUAUUCCUGGUACGUGCAUUUUCCGAUGUAGAAAAUGGUGGAUUGAACCUGGUUUUAUAGCUAGCUAACUUAAAACCUUUCACUUGUACGACAGUCGCAUACCAUUCCAUUAUAUUGACAACGAUCGAUGUGUGAACAAAAAACCCUGACAUAAUAGGUAAAAAUACAGCAGUCAACAUUGUGUUAUAAUCGUAAUUACAAUACAAAAAAAAAAAAAAAUGUAGGCAAAGCCCAUAAGCAAAAGAGCAAAAAUACAAAAAAUUACCAUAGCACAAUAAGACAAUGACGGGAUGCACAAGUGCCGAGCAAUGUCAAUUGGAUAUAACAAAAAUACACUAAACAUUGAAAGUAAUAUUCAAAAAGACAUUAUGUCAAAUAAAAGAAAACUAUAACACGUUGUUAUGAUCAUCAGCAACGCCAGUACGCAGAAUCGAUACUACAGGAUUAUCGUGUAUUAUUUGUAAAGUUGAUACGGAAUAUUCAUCAAUAAGGUCUUGGUAUCUUCUGAUAAACGUUUAGAAAAAGUAUUAGGCGGUCUUUGACAUAUCCCUGGUUCAUCAACUUUCUGCUGAUACACUGGUGACGUUUUACAAAGUGUGAGUAGAAUUUCCAAACUCUUGAGUACAUAGAUGGCCGUGUAAUUCAAUUUCGAGGUAUAAGUCUAAUCAUAUGUCUUAAAUUUCUAGUUCUAAGGUAUACAGGUAUAUUAAUGGAACCCAAUCAGAAAAUUUUGGAUUGUUAAUAGAAAAUUAAUAUAUAUCUGAUUGUAAAAUUAAAUGACCUGGCUUCUUUGAAUUUCUUGUUUCUGACAACUACCCGAAGGAGCUCGGACUCAUAUGAAAAUAAAAAGAUGUCGACAAGAAGAGGCGCACAGUUAGAUCCCAUAAGAAUGCCGACAAUUUCUUGAAAAAGUCUACUUACAAAUUCAACAAAUAUAAUGUCACUAAGAAACUCCAAAGUAUUUAAGAAGAACCUCUUUCAUUGAUGACAGAAUUUUGUCAUUCUAAUCGAAAAUUGUUUAGUCGAACAAUGUACCGUUGUUUGUACGGAAUUUGUGAAGCUUAGGUAUCCAAUACAAACAAGGUAAGUCCUCCGAUUUGAUGUUCAAUAUAAUUUUUCCAUUGAAGCCAUGAAGGACUUAUGAUUCGCCUAAAUCUCAUCCUUGUCAAAUGAUAUCUUUUUGUAUGUUGGAUUACUUGAUUAGUGCUCAUUUUUUCCUAAUUUUUUUUACAAGACACUCACAGUAGUACGAUAAACAUACAAAGACAAUUAUAUUUGAAACUUUGUCCGCAGGAUCAACAACAUACUUGUCACGAAGAGAUGAUAAGAUAUUUCACAACCUUUUUGUGUCUGACAACGGACUUUGGUCAAUCAUUCACACAAUUUUUCAACUACGAAUGCGACGUUUUAUCGAAGACUUGUUUGUAAUGACCCAUGCGGACAAAGUGUUUA
rnacentral:lncRNA from 1 species